GGUUCUAAUGGCAAAGCAUUCCAGAGAAAUGCUUGCCAAGGUAAGAAGAGUGGACGCCUCAAUUAUACCAAGGCUUCAGACAGGCUUCCUCCAUUCUUUACAGCAGAGUUAUUAUGGGACAGGAGGAUUGUGAGUUCAAGACCUGACUAGGUUUCAUAGUGAGACCCAACUCAAACAACAAACAACAGGAAAAAGAAACGGAAAACUCUGCUACUGCAGCCAUAGUUGCUCUACGGAUCAGGCUGCCCAAGGACCUCAUCUCCGAAGCACAAGUCCAUGGAGGCUACACAGACAGAACUGGCUACACAAACCAUAGAAGUGAAUGUUUAUGGUGACAUUGCUCUCAGGCCAAAUCAGGGGAACAGUUACCACCCAGCCUUCCUGAAGAUGAUAUGACCAAUCUUAUAGACUCACAUAUUUCCUGCAAGCGGGUCCAUGAGGCGCAGCGUGUCUCUGAUCACGGCCACCUUCACCUCUUCAUCCACCAGGCUGGGGAUAUUUUCAAAUACCCCUGGAGAGAGCUUGGAAGAUCUUGUUUGUUUUGAGAUGGGGCAUCUUAUCCAGCCUGGCCUUGAACUUGCUCUAUGGCUAAGUAUGACUUGAACUCGUCGCCCAACCAUCUUCACCUCCCAAGUGCUAGGAUUACAGAUAAAACUAGGUUCUGUCAUCUGCAGCAGCUGCCCUCCUCCCAGAUCUGGAUCGGCAGGACACACCCAAGACCAUCUAGGAUUCCAGAAUGGAACUUCACAAGAAAUCAAUGCGGGCUCCCUCCUAGGCCCACCCUCUGCACAACCUUUCCUGCAACAGUGACCUUGACGCUCAGGUCCUUAUUUAAUAUUCAUCCGAGGCGUCCACAUGCAUGGCCUUUACAGGAAACAUGACUGCUGUGGACGAAUGACAGCCAGGGAUCAGCAAGUGAAAAAUGUCAAGUUUGCACUGAUGGGUAAUUUUUCCCUCUGGAAAGCUUUUGCUAGGCCGAUGAGUCCAAUAUAUUAUCAGGAGUGAUAUUUUCUCCUUUGGAUUCAGGGUAUGUGCCUUAAAUAAAUUAAACUACAUGGUCAA